rnacentral:miRNA from 1 species
UUGUCUUACCCAUUCCUCCCA